UCCCUUCUAGCCUGGAAUCGUGACAUGGGUUUUCAGGAAGUCCUCAUGAAGCAUGGUUUGAAGUUCCUGGAGGAUGCUGGAGCUGAACCUGCUGGUGAAGGCACCACAUCCAGGACUGAGCCUCUGGGAGAUGCUGAGGGUGUGUCUGCAGGGAGGAGAUUCAUACGUCCUUUGGUAGUUAUUGCUGACAAGACCAGCUCCCAUAGCAGGGGUUCUCCGAUAGGGAAGAUCCAAAACACAAGAGACAAGAUAUCCCUGGAACCAUCCAAACAGACGAGGCAAGUGCUGAAGAAAAUGCUGCAGGGAGGACAAGAAAUGAAAGGAGAGCCUGUGGAGAAAGAAGCAUUUCCCGGAGGAAGCAGUGGUUCCGUGCCAGCCUCAGCUCCAGGAAGGGAGGCCAUGCCAGGCACAGGCA